AGUGAACGCUGGCGGCAGGCCUAACACUUGCAAGUCGAACGGCAGCACAGUAAGAGCUUGCUCUUACGGGUGGCGAGUGGCGGACGGGUGAGGAAUACAUCGGAAUCUACUUUUUCGUGGGGGAUAACGUAGGGAAACUUACGCUAAUACCGCAUACGACCUACGGGUGAAAGCAGGGGAUCUUCGGACCUUGCGCGAUUGAAUGAGCCGAUGUCGGAUUAGCUAGUUGGCGGGGUAAAGGCCCACCAAGGCGACGAUCCGUAGCUGGUCUGAGAGGAUGAUCAGCCACACUGGAACUGAGACACGGUCCAGACUCCUACGGGAGGCAGCAGUGGGGAAUAUUGGACAAUGGGCGCAAGCCUGAUCCAGCCAUACCGCGUGGGUGAAGAAGGCCUUCGGGUUGUAAAGCCCUUUUGUUGGGAAAGAAAAGCAGCAGGUUAAUACCCCGCUGUUCUGACGGUACCCAAAGAAUAAGCACCGGCUAACUUCGUG
rnacentral:rRNA from 1 species